AUUACUCCCUCUGUCCCAUUUAAUUGUAUACGUUUCUUUUUAACUGUUCGACACGCAUUUCAAUACUCUUAUAAAAUAUAGUUCCAUUACUUAUUUUUCAGAUUUUCUUUUUCUGAAUAAAAAUAGAACAUCCAAACUUUAAUUCAGAAAAAGAAAAUUUUAAAAAUAAAUUACACAACUAUACUUUACAGGAGCAUUAAAGUCCGUGCCGCGUCCCCGUCCCCGUCCCCCAAUGUAUACAAUUCAGGGGGA
rnacentral:lncRNA from 1 species